UACGUAGGUGGCAAGCGUUGUCCGGAAUUAUUGGGCGUAAAGCGCGCGCAGGCGGUCCUUUAAGUCUGAUGUGAAAGCCCACGGCUCAACCGUGGAGGGUCAUUGGAAACUAGGGGACUUGAGUGCAGGAGAGAAGAGUGGGAUUCCACGUGUAGCGGUGAAAUGCGUAGAGAUGUGGAGGAACACCAGUGGCGAAGGCGACUCUUUGGCCUGUAACUGACGCUGAGGCGCGAAAGCGUGGGGAGCAAACAGG
rnacentral:rRNA from 1 species